GAUGACGACCUAUAUUCGAAGUUUCCCUAGGGUUGGAAAGCGAAAUGGGGCGUCAACCGAGACCCCGUUAGUAGCGGCGAGUGAGAGCGGAACAAGGGUUUUCAUCAAAAUAAAUCCAAAGCGGUUUCAUUCGAUUUGUUGUGGAUUGGAUGAUGGAAAAACCAGCAAGCAGCAAGCAUAGUUAGAAAAGUUGCCGUAGCGCGCCCUACUGUACAAAGUCAGCAACCGUUUUGGGGCGCAAGCAUAGGAAACACAGGACUGAUGAUGGGGUGGGGCGUGAAGUGAACUGGUUUUCUAAAAAGAUUGGAAGAUCCGGCCAAAGAAGGUGAUAGCCCUGUUCAUUCGUUCCCAUGGUUCAGUCCUUCCCAGUAAAACGCGGCAUUUUCGACUGAUGAUUGCUUUUACGAGAGAAAGGGGGACCACCCUCUAAGCCUAAGUAUUCCUCAAUGACCGAUAGCGUACAAGUAACGUGAGGAAAAGGUGAAAAAAGAACCCCAAUCGCGGAGUGCAAUAGAGAACCUGAGAUCCGAUGCUAACAAUCAAUCGAAGGAGCGGAGCACGGGUGCACACACUCUAACGGCGUACCUUCCGCAUGAUGGGUCAACAAGGAAAUGGGAACAGCGGCUUAAGCCAUUGGGUGUAGGCGCUUUCCAGAGGUGGAAGAUUUACGUUCUUCCUAUUUGACCCGAAACCGAUCGAUCUAGCCAUGAGCAGGUUGAAGAGAGCUCUAACAGGCCUUGGAGGACCGAACCCAUGUAUGUGGCAAAAUACGGGGAUGACUUGUGGCUAGAGGUGGAAGGCCAACCAAGAUCGGAUAUAGCGGGUUUUCCGCAAAAAUCUAUUUCAAUAGAGCGUAUGAUGUCGAUGGCCCGAGGUAGAGCACUCAAUGGGCUAGGGUGGCCCCCAUUUCGCUUUACCAACCCCGGGGAAACUCCAAAUACAGGCUGUCAUCCUUAGUACAGAUAGACUGAUUGGGUGCUAGGAUCCAAAGUCGAGAGGGAAACAGUCCAGAUCGUACGCUAAGGUCCCUAAGCAAUCACUUAGUGGAAAAGGAAGUGAUUGAUACAUCCCCAACGUAUCUAUAAUUUUAGAUUGUUCCAUGCUGUUUUAUUAUCAAUCUUGAAUGUUUUAUAAUCAUUUUAUAUCAUUUUUUGGUACUAACCUAUUGACAUAGUGCCAAGUGCCAGUUGCUGUUUUUCCAUGUUUUUUACAUCGCAGAAAAUCAAUACCAGACGGAGUCCAAAUGCCACGAAACUCCAUGAUGAUUUUUAUGGGCCAGAUGGAAGAUGUUGGGCCCUGGUUGCACAUGGGGGGAGUCCCGAGGAGGGGACAACCCACCAGGGCGCGCCAGGAGGCCCAGGCGCGCCCUGGUGGGUUGUGCCCACCUCGGGUGCCCCCCCGGACCGCCUCUUUGCUCUAUGAAUACCCCAAAAAUACCAGAACCUAGAAGCGUCGACGAAAUAUUAAUCAUGCCGCCGCAGAGUCCAGAACCACCAGAUCCAAUCUGGACAUCAUCUCGGAUGGGGUUCACCACCUCCAUUGGUGCCUCUCCGAUGAUGCGUGAGUAGUUCUUUGUAGACCUUCAGGUCCGUAGUUAGUAGCUAGAUGACUUUCUCUCUCUCGCUGAAUUCUCAAUACAAUGGUCUCUUGGAUAUCCAUAUGAUGUAACUCUUUUGCGGUGUGUUUGUUGGGAUCUGAUGAACUUUGAGUUUAUGAUCAGUCAUAUCUUUUUAUAUCCAUGAAAGUUAUUUGAGUUUCUUUGAUCUUUUAUAGCCUCGUAUUUCUUCUCCGAUAUUUGGGUUUUGUUUGGCCAACUUGAUCUAUUUAUCUUGCAAUGGGAAGAGGUGCCCGGUAGUGGGUUCGAUCUUUCGGUGCUCGUUCCCAGUGACAGAAAGGUAAACGACACGUAUGUAUCGUUGGUACUAAGGAUAAAAAGAUGAGAUCUAUAUCUACGCAAUAGAUAAAAACGGAUCUUGUCUACAUCAUGUCAUCGUUCUUAUUGCAUUACUCCGUUUUUCCAUGAACUUAAUACACUAGAUGCAUGCUGGAUAGCGGUCGAUGUGUGGAGUAAUAGUAGUAGAUGCGGGCAGGAGUCGGUCUACUAAUCUUGGACAUGAUGCCUAUGUAAUGAUCAUUGUCUGGAUACCGUCAUAAUUAUUUGAGGUUCUAUCAAUUGCCCAACUGUAAUUUGUUUACCCACCGUUUGCUAUCUUUCUCGAGAGAAGCCACUAGUGAAACCUACGGCCCCCGAGUCUUCUUCCUCAUAUAUUUGCCUUUGCGAUCUACUUUUCCUUUGCAUUUUUAUUUAGAUCUAUUAAACCAAAAAUACAAAAAUAUCUUGCUGCGUUUUAUUUCUAUUUAUUUUAAUUGCGAUCUAUCUUUCAAUCUACUACAAAUUUAUCUCACGUCCGUUUGCCUAUCUUGAGGCGCCGUACCCCGGAAGGGAUUGACAACCCCUUUAACACGUCGGGUUGCGAGGUGUUGUUAUUUGUGUGCAGGU
rnacentral:rRNA from 1 species